AGAGUUUGAUCCUGGCUCAGGAUGAACGCUGGCGGCGUGCUUAACACAUGCAAGUCGAGCGGAGGUUUAAAGCGGAAGUUUUCGGAUGGAAGCAAUAAACCUUAGCGGCGGACGGGUGAGUAACGCGUGGGUAACCUGCCUCAUACAGGGGGAUAACAGUUAGAAAUGACUGCUAAAACCGCAUAAGCGCACAUUGUCGAGUGACAGAGUGUGAAAAACUCCGGUGGUAUGAGAUGGACCCGCGUCUGAUUAGCUAGUUGGUGAGGUAACGGCCCACCAAGGCGACGAUCAGUAGCCGGCCUGAGAGGGCGACCGGCCACAUUGGGACUGAGACACGGCCCAAACUCCUACGGGAGGCAGCAGUGGGGAAUAUUGCACAAUGGGGGAAACCCUGAUGCAGCGACGCCGCGUGAGUGAAGAAGUAUUUCGGUAUGUAAAGCUCUAUCAGCAGGGAAGAAGAAAGACGGUACCUGACUAAGAAGCCCCGGCUAACUACGUG
rnacentral:rRNA from 1 species